UGGCUCAGUUGGUAGAGCAUGGUGUUUGCAUGGUGUUUGCAACGCCAGGGUUGUGGGUUCAAUUCCCAC
rnacentral:tRNA from 1 species